CCUAGUAAAAAAGCUAGAAUUACAACAUAAGACCAGAAGACCCUGUGAAGCUUAAAUAAAACUAUUAAACCACAUAAUAACUACUUUCGGUUGGGGCGACCUUGGAAAAAAAGAGAACUUCCAAAUAAAAUGACUAUACCUCAUUAUCCAAAUUAGGCCAACAAGCCAAAAAUGACCCAGCACAGCUGAUAAUUGAACCAAGUUACUCCAGGGAUAACAGCGCAAUCUUCUUCAAGAGCCCAUAUCAAAAAGAAGGUUUACGACCUCGAUGUUGGAUCAGGACAUCCUAAUGGUGCAGCCGCUAUUAAGGGUUCGUUUGUUCAACGAUUAAUA
rnacentral:rRNA from 1 species